UCAAACUUGGUCAUUUAGAGGAAGUAAAAGUCGUAACAAGGUUUCCGUAGGUGAACCUGCGGAAGGAUCAUUACAGAAUUUUGAGAAUUGUGCUUAACUGCACUUUUCUUAUCUACACACGUGUUUUUGUUUUAUUCUUAAAACUUGCUUUGGCAGUGGCUGCUUAAUUGCUCUGCUGCCAGAGGAUAAACUCAACCUAAAUUUUUUAUUUUAAACUAGUCAACUGAUUAUAUUUAUUAAUAGUCAAAACUUUCAACAACGGAUCUCUUGGUUCUCGCAUCGAUGAAGAACGCAGC
rnacentral:misc_RNA from 1 species